rnacentral:rRNA from 1 species
GCCCGCUCAGAAACUCAAAUGAAUUGACGGGGGCCCGCACAAGCGGUGGAGCAUGUGGUUUAAUUCGAUGAUACGCGAGGAACCUUACCUGGGCUCAAAUGUAUGUUGACGUAUUCUGAAAGGGAUACUUCUUCGGACAAUAUACAAGGUGCUGCAUGGUUGUCGUCAGCUCGUGCCGUGAGGUGUCGGGUUAAGUCCCAUAACGAGCGCAACCCCUAUCAUUAGUUGCCAUCAGGUCAAGCUGGGCACUCUAAAGGGACUGCCGGUGUUAAACCGGAGGAAGGUGGGGAUGACGUCAAGUCCUCAUGGCCUUUAUGACCAGGGCUACACACGUACUACAAUGGCCGAUACAAAGGGCAGCGACACUGCGAGGUGAAGCCAAUCCCGUAAAAUCGGUCUCAGUCCGGAUUGGAGUCUGCAACUCGACUCCAUGAAGUUGGAAUCGCUAGUAAUCGUGGAUCAGCAUGCCACGGUGAAUACGUUCCCGGGCCUU